GGCCCGGUAGCUCAGUUGGUUAGAGCUCGUGCUAAUAACGCGAAUGUCGUGGGUUCGAUCCCCAUCCGGGCCA
rnacentral:tRNA from 1 species